rnacentral:rRNA from 1 species
CAACUGAAGAGUUUGAUCCUGGCUCAGAUUGAACGCUGGCGGCAUGCCUAACACAUGCAAGUCGAACGGUAACAGGCCCUUCGGGGUGCUGACGAGUGGCGGACGGGUGAGUAAUGCGUAGGAAUCUUCCCAACGGUGGGGGAUAGCCCGGCGAAAGCCGGAUUAAUACCGCAUACGUCCUACGGGGGAAAGCGGGGGAUCUUCGGACCUCGCGCCGAUGGAUGAGCCUACGUCGGAUUAGCUAGUUGGUGGGGUAAUGGCCUACCAAGGCGACGAUCCGUAGCUGGUUUGAGAGGACGAUCAGCCACCCCGGAACUGAGACACGGUCCGGACUCCUACGGGAGGCAGCAGUGGGGAAUAUUGGACAAUGGGCGCAAGCCUGAUCCAGCCAUGCCG